GAUGAACGCUGGCGGCGUGCCUAAUACAUGCAAGUCGAGCGAACAGACGAGGCUGUUUGCACUCUCUCGCGUGAGGCGCGGGCGGGUGAGACACGAGUAGGUAACCCAUCUAUGAGAGUGAGAUAACUGCGAGAAAGGGGAGAAAAUCCCAGAAAAUAUUUAGCCUCGCAGGUAGAUAGAGUGAAACGGGGUUCUGGUGUCUCUUAGAGGUGGACCCGCGGUGUAUUAGCUUGUUGGUGAGGUAACGUCUCACCAAGGCAACGAUGCGUAGCCGAUCGGAGAGGGUGAUCGGCCACACGGGAACUGAGACACGGCCCAGACUCCUACGGGAGGCAGCAGUAGGGAAUCUUCCGCAAUGGACGAAAGUCUGACGGAGCAAUGCCGCGUGAGUGAAGAAGGUUUUCGGAUCGUAAAACUCUGUUGUAAGGGAAGAACAAGUACGUCAGUAACUGAACGUACCUUGACGGUACCUUAUCAGAAAGCCACGGCUAACUACGUG
rnacentral:rRNA from 1 species